rnacentral:lncRNA from 1 species
CGUCCUCGGCCGCGCCGCGCGGCACCCGGGCCCAGCAGCCGGGAGGCGGCAGCUCUCCUCUACGCCCGUCCCCUCAGGGCGGCUGUGGAUGUUGCCAGUAUUGUCGAUGCUUCAGAGCGACGUUUGCCCUGCGACACAGGCGGGCCGGCUCUCCUCUGUCUUUAUUUUCCUGGAGGCCGACAGGAGCGGGGCCCGAGUUCGGUGGUGGUCGUGAGCGUGGGGGGCACUCAGGCCCGGACGGGCUCUCAGGUCGCCGACGGCGGCGGCUGGAGGCCGCGCUGGCUGUCCCAGGUCGUCGUUAGCUUUAGGGAGCCGAUCUCCGGGCGGCCCCACAGAGGACGCCCGCGAUUCGAUGGCGAUGAUGCCCGUUUUAAAUGGUGUCCCUGCAGCCGGGUGGAUGGAUGGAUCGUACACCUUGCCUUUUGAGAGCCGGGACCUUACGCCCGACUGCGUGUUAUUUCUGCGAAUAAGAACGCAACCUUUGGAGGUGAAGACGACUGUCGGCUGGAUUGAAUUGGAAUCGUGUUUGUGAUGAUGCGUUUAUUUCUGGAAAUACGCGGUCUCCGCUGCUUUUGCUUUUUGUCGGCAGAGGUUUGGGUUCUUCUCUAACGGUCAGGAUAAAGGCCUGUAGGCGACGCUGCGCGAGCGAGAAGCUCGCCCGCGGCUGCCCGGGCGCCCCCCUCUAGGUGUGGGUGGAGCCGAGCGCGCGGGGAGAACCGCCGGCCCCGACUCAGCCACCGGUGACUGCGGGCGACCCGCGGGCCUGCGGCCAGCUGAUUUCAAACAUCGUUUUCCUCUUUAGGUUCGGAAAACUGAGGCGCUGGACAAGGCUGGAAUACAAUAUGUGAUUAUACGUACAGUACUAUGGUUGUUGUAGUUUUUAAAUUGUAAAACAAGAAGUAACCAUUGUUCCACCGUUCUCUAUUAAGUUUGUGUAAAUUAAAAAGGGGCUAUUUUCGGUAAAAAGUGCAGUAGACGAAGUCUUGCUCUGUCACCCAGGCUGGAGUGCAGUGGUGCAAUCUCGGCUCACUGCAAGCUCCGCCUCCCGGUUCACGCCAUGCUUCUGCCUCAGCCUCCCCAGUACCUGGGACUACAGGCGCCCACCACCACGCCCGGCUAAUUUUUUGUACUUUUAGUAGAGAUGGGGUUUCACCGUGUUAGCCAGGAUGGUCUCCAUCUCCUGACCUCGUGAUCCCCCGGCCUCGGCCUCCCAAAGUGUUGGGAUUACAGGCGUGAGCCACUGUGCCUGGCCUUACUGUUUAUGUUUUCAUGCAUCUAUACCUUAUGUUACUAAAUCAAAGUGACCAGUUCCACAUUAUACUACAAGUUUCACUGUGUAAUGCAUAAGAAUUACACAGAGGGAAGGGCCUCAAAAAAUGCACUUCUGAAGUAUUUUAAUGUAAAAUUAUUUAAGACCAUAAAGUUUCAUGAAAGCCUAAUCUUUCUGGAACCUACACAUACUCUGCAUGUGAACCAGAGUUAAACUAGUCAAGUAUUUUAAUACUGAACUAAUCUGGAAAAACAUCAUUUAAAAAAUUACUGUAUUUAUGAAGGAAGAAUAUAAAAUCUGUUAAAAACUUAAAACAUCUAAAAUAGGUAUGAAGAGAGGCUUAUGGUGCUCAUUUUAACAGCAUUCUUGAGUAGGUUACCUUGCAGUCAAAGCAUCUGCUCCAGACCAGUGUUUUAAACUGUGGAUUAUGGUACCACUAUGGGUCAUGAAAUUAAUUUAUUGCAUUAUGACUAGCAUUUUUUAUUUAAAAUAGAGAAAAGAAUAGAAAAUAAAAGCGUACAUCACAGAUGGUAAGGGUAUGUGUUUUUAAGUAAACAUUUGUUCAUGUGUAUAUGUGUUAGAUUACCUUGUAAAACAUAUUCCUUAUUGUGGGUUACAGGCCAAAAAAAGUGUUUGUUUUUGUUUUUAAAAAUCUACAGUUCAGAUUUUCCUUAGAAAAUGGGGAAAAAAGGAAUGUUAGAAAGAUCUGACUGCCUAUGAACUAGUGAAGGAUUUUAGAGGAAGUACCAGGCUAUUUUAGAGAUCUGAUACUGGUUUCAGAAAGGUAAUCUUAAGGCAAAGGGUAGGAAAUAAAGUUAUGUUGUUAGUAGAAAUGUCAAAUACGGUUAAAGUUGUGAGGAGGAAUUAUUUUCCUAGUGGACCUACAUUUGUUGUGUGUAGAUCUGUGACUAUUACUGAUCUGUUGUAGCACAUUUUCCAAUCUAAAAUGUCCGAUACAGCACAAUAAUAAACAUGGGGCAGAAUAU